AAAAAAUCUUAAAAAAAAUAAAAGUUUUGCAGAAGGCUAUUGGGAUGUUAGAAUAGAAUCUAUGAUGUUACAAAUGGAAAGUCCACAAAGAGACAAGUGGUCUCUAAACCAAACAGGACAUGCUAUUCUCCCCAAAUUCCUACAGUGAAGAAUUAUCCCAAUGGGAUGAUAUUAGGAAGUGGGCUCUGGGCGGUAGUUAUGUCACUAGGUACAGCCAUCAUGAAUGGGGUUAGCAUACUUAUCAAAGAGAUCCCAGAGAGCUCUCUCAACCCUUUCAGCCCUAUGAGGACAAAGUGAGAAGACAGGUGUCCCUGAACCAGGAAGCAGGCUGUCACCAGACUCUGAAUCUGCUGAUGCUUUGAUUUGGGACUUACCAGCCUCCAGAACUGUGAGAAAUCAAUUUAUGUUGUUUACAAGCUACCCAGUGAAUGAUAUUGGGUUAUAAUAGCCUGCAUGGACCAAGACAGCAUAUUUGUUUAUUUCUACAUUGAGAAGCUAGGUUAUCUUUGGGAGUGCAACGAAUGAAGUGUUUAUUUGAUUCAGCUUAUCUUCCCAGGACUACUAGACCACUAAAUAAAGGGAUAUGAAAAGUAUUUUUUCAUCACGAAAUGUACAUACAGGAUUAUAGAAACUAUGAUGUCUGGGAAGGAACUUUCAUGGCAAAAUUUUGAAGUUGACAUGGGUGGUCUUUACAUCCUCCUCCAGACAUCAUCGUGUAUUUCUCCUGUCUCAUAAUUCAAAGACCAUUCACUGAGACAUUCCUGUGCUCAUGCACUACAUUAAGCAAUGACAAUACAGACAUAAGAACACCUAUUUCCUUUCUCUCAGUUGAAUUUUAGUGUCACGCUGGAAAUGUGGACAUAAGUGUCACUAAAAUCCAAUGUAACUCAAGAUACAACUGUGGUCCAACUGGCCCUUUAACUACCUUUUCUAGGAUAUUAGUGCCGAGUAUCUGGAUGAAUUGCACUCUUUAGUGUGACAAGAUGGGAAGAAAGCAUUCAGGAAGAAUGAACAGCUUGAGCAAAUGUAAGAAAGCAUGAAAACACUUGAUUCACUGAUGAGGAUGAGGAUGAAGAGCUAUAAGUAGUUUAAACUGAGCUGAAAUCUACAAUGCAAGGAAAGAAGAAAGAAGACAAUGUUAGAGCCAGACACAGGCAGGCCCCAGAUCACAGAAAAUCAGUUUGCUCAUAAUGGAUUCAACAAGUGUUUACUGGUCAUCCGGUCUGCACAAAGUGAUGUUCCGUAGGAUAUGGCCGAUGAUCAAGUCAGGCAAGUCAACAGGUCUUUCAGAAACUUUUUCUGAUUCAAUCAAUGAAGAGAGCGUCUACCUUAGAAGCUUCUAGAAAGAUAAAUGAAGAUAAAUUAAAAGCACCCAAAACAUAGGAGAUGAUGAAUACAUGGCUGAGGACAUGAGGGUCUGCUGGUUGUUCCGCCAUACUGAGCAGUGAUUCUGCUCCUUAACUGCAACUGUCUGCCUUGAAUAUAAGUACCAGUAAGUGCAAAUACCCGCCAACUCAAGAUUUCUCCUGCCAAAGAGAAGAACUGAAAUUCAGUCAGUCAUAAUAAGGUUUUAUUUUUUCCAUUAAAACUAUAUAUAGGUUGUUAGAACUAAAAGAAACCUUGGAGAAAAGUUAGUU